AAUGGUCCAAAUUUUUUUGGGGGUUUUCUCAUCUUUUGAUUCCAGUUCAGCUCCACUGCAGCUUCAAACUCACAGAAGAUUCCCAUCAGCAGAAGCAGUGAGUCAAUUCAGUUGAUGACAUGCCUCUUCUUCAUCUUGACUCAACGGCUUUUUGAAUAUGAAGUUGGAUCCCAUUUUGAUUUCAUCAUUCAGUCACUCACUUAAACUGGAAGUGAGAUCAAGGAAGGUGUCUUCACUGCAAGGGAUUGUGAUACUGCCCAUGGGAUGAUCGUAUCCAAAUUCUUCUACAGCUUGACUCAGCAAAUCCAUAAAUGAAGGUUGGUUCAAGUAUGAUAUUGGAAUCACAAAUCGCUUCUUCUGGCUCUCUC
rnacentral:lncRNA from 1 species